GGGAAUGUGGCUUAGUGGUAGAGUACUUGCCUAGCAUGUAUGAAGCCCUGAGUUCGAUUCCUCAGUCCCA
rnacentral:tRNA from 1 species